GACGAACGCUGCGGCGAGCCUAAUACCUGCAAGUAGAACGCUGAAACUUUGUGUUUGCACCCAGAGGAUGAGUUGAGAACGGGUGAGCAACGCGUAGGUAACCUGCCAGGUCGCGGGGGAUCACCUAUGGCAACGAUAGCUAAUACGGCAUAAGAGUAGUCGUUGCAAGACAUUUGCUUAAAAGGUUCAAUUGCACCACUACGCGAUAGCCUUCCGUUGCAUUAGUUAGUUGGUGGGGUAACGGCUCACCCAGUCGACGAUACAAAGCCAAACUGAGCGGGUGAUCAGCCGCACGUGGACUGGGACGCGGCCCAGACUUCUGCGUGAGGCAGCGGUAGGGAUUCUUCGGCAAGGGACGGAAGUCAGACCGAGCAAAGCCGCGUGAGUGAAGAAGGUUUUCGGAUCGUAGAGCUCUGUGGUAAGAGGAGAACGAAUGUGAGAGUGGAAAGUUCACGCUGUGACGGUAUCUUACCAGAAAGGGACGGCUAACUACGUG
rnacentral:rRNA from 1 species